rnacentral:tRNA from 1 species
GGCCGUAGCUCCGUGGCAGAGCAUCUGCUAUGCAUGCAGAAGGUCACUGGUUCAAUCCCCAGCAUCGCCA